CCUACGGGAGACUGCAGUGAGGAAUAUUGGUCAAUGGCCGGAAGGCUGAACCAGCCAUGCCGCGUGAAGGUCAGUGCCCUAUGGGCGUUAAACUUCUUUUGUGCGGGAGCAAUAAUGGUCACUUGUGGCCAGACGAGAGUACCGUACGACUAAUCAUCGGCUAACUCCGUGCCAGCAGCCGCGGUAAUCCGGGGGAUGCAAGCGUUAUCCGGAUUUAUUGGGUUUAAAGGGUGCGUAGGCUGUGAGGUAAGUCAGCGGUGAAAUGCCCCCGCUCAACGGGGUGAAGUGCCAUUGAUACUGCCUUGCUGGAAUGCGGAUGCCGUGGGAGGAAUGUGUGGUGUAGCGGGGAAAUGCAUAGAUAGCACACAGAACACCGAUUGCGAAGGCAUCUCACGAAUCCGCGAUUGACGCUGAUGCACGAAAGCGUGGGUAUCAAACAGGAUUAGAUACCCCGGUAGUC
rnacentral:rRNA from 1 species